rnacentral:rRNA from 1 species
UACGUAGGGUGCAAGCGUUGUCCGGAAUUAUUGGGCGUAAAGAGCUCGUAGGCGGUCUGUCGCGUCGGCUGUGAAAACCCGAGGCUCAACCUCGGGCCUGCAGUCGAUACGGGCAGACUAGAGUGUGGUAGGGGAGACUGGAAUUCCUGGUGUAGCGGUGAAAUGCGCAGAUAUCAGGAGGAACACCGGUGGCGAAGGCGGAUCUCUGGGCCGAUACUGACGCUGAGGAGCGAAAGCGUGGGGAGCGAACAGG